rnacentral:rRNA from 1 species
GUGCCAGCAGCCGCGGUAAUACGUAGGGGGCGAGCGUUGUCCGGAAUCACUGGGCGUAAAGCGCGCGCAGGCGGUCUUUCACGUCAGGGGUGAAAGCCCGAAGCUCAACUUCGGGACUGCCUUGGAUACUGGAUGGCUUGAGCAUUGGAGAGGCAAGGGGAAUUCCACGUGUAGCGGUGAAAUGCGUAGAGAUGUGGAGGAACACCCGUGGCGAAGGCGCCUUGCUGGCCAAUUGCUGACGCUGAGGCGCGAAAGCGUGGGGAGCAAACAGGAUUAGAUACCCCUGUAGUCCUCGCCGUAAACGAUGGAUACUAGAUGUUGGGUAGGUUAAAGCACUCAGUAUCGUAGCUAACGCGUGAAGUAUCCCGCCUGGGGAGUAUGCUCGCAAGAGUGAAACUCAAAUGAAUUGACGG